rnacentral:rRNA from 1 species
UACGUAGGUGGCAAGCGUUAUCCGGAAUUAUUGGGCGUAAAGCGCGCGCAGGUGGUUUCUUAAGUCUGAUGUGAAAGCCCACGGCUCAACCGUGGAGGGUCAUUGGAAACUGGGAGACUUGAGUGCAGAAGAGGAAAGUGGAAUUCCAUGUGUAGCGGUGAAAUGCGUAGAGAUAUGGAGGAACACCAGUGGCGAAGGCGAGUCCCUGGACAACUUCUGACGCUGAGGCACGAAAGCUAGGGGAGCAAACAGG